ACUUACAGACGCAUACACACUAGCUAACAGACACACACAUUUACUGACAGAGACACAGUCAGCGACAGACAUACAUACACACUCACUUACAAAACAUACACUCUCAUUGACAAACACACUCACUAACAGACAUCAAACAGACUCACUAACACACACACUCAGUAAGACACACACAGUAACACACUCACUGACACUCACUAGCAG